rnacentral:siRNA from 1 species
UAUCAUGUGUGUAACUAUUAGUUA